CGGAGUUAGCCGGUGCUUAUUCAUAUAAUACCGUCAUUAUCUUCUUAUAUAAAAGGAGUUUACGCACCGAAAUGUGUCAUCCUCCACGCGGCGUUGCUGCAUCAGACUUUCGUCCAUUGUGCAAUAUUCCCCA
rnacentral:rRNA from 1 species